rnacentral:rRNA from 1 species
AGCGAACGCUGGCGGCAGGCUUAACACAUGCAAGUCGAACGCCCCGCAAGGGGAGUGGCAGACGGGUGAGGAACACGUGGGAAUAUGCCCUUUGGUUCGGAAUAACUCAGGGAAACUUGAGCUAAUACCGGAUAAGCGCGAAGGCGGAAAGAUUUAUCGCCGAAGGAGUAGCCCGCGUCUGAUUAGCUAGUUGGUGAGGUAACGGCUCACCAAGGCGACGAUCAGUAGCUGGUCUGAGAGGAUGAUCAGCCACACUGGGACUGAGACACGGCCCAGACUCCUACGGGAGGCAGCAGUGGGGAAUAUUGGACAAUGGGCGCAAGCCUGAUCCAGCCAUGCCGCGUGAGUGAUGAAGGCCUUAGGGUUGUAAAGCUCUUUUGUCCGGGAAGAUAAUGACUGUACCGGAAGAAUAAGCCCCGGCUAACUUCGUGCCAGCCGCCGCCGUAAGAC